GUGGGGAAUAUUGGACAAUGGGCGAAAGCCUGAUCCAGCCAUGCCGCGUGAGUGAUGAAGGCCCUAGGGUUGUAAAGCUCUUUCGGCGGGGACGAUAAUGACGGUACCCGCAGAAGAAGCCCCGGCUAACUUCGUGCCAGCAGCCGCGGUAAUACGAAGGGGGCUAGCGUUGUUCGGAAUCACUGGGCGUAAAGCGCACGUAGGCGGAUUAUUAAGUCGGGGGUGAAAUCCCGAGGCUCAACCUCGGAACUGCCUUCGAUACUGGUAAUCUUCGAGUCCGGGAGAGGUGAGUGGAACUCCGAGUGUAGAGGUGAAAUUCGUAGAUAUUCGGAAGAACACCAGUGGCGAAGGCGGCUCACUGGCCCGGUACUGACGCUGAGGUGCGAAAGCGUGGGGAGCAAACAGGAUUAGAUACCCUAGUAGUCC
rnacentral:rRNA from 1 species